UCCGGUUCUUCACCGGCAGUCUCCUUAGAGUCCCCGACUUUACUCGCUGGUAACUAAGGAUAAGGGUUGCGCUCGUUACGGGACUUAACCCAACAUCUCACAACACGAGCUGACGACAGCCAUGCAGCACCUGUCUCAAAGCUCCUUUCGGCACUUUCGCAUCUCUGCAAAAUUCUUUGGAUGUCAAGGGUAGGUAAGGUUCUUCGCGUUGCAUCGAAUUAAACCACAUGCUCCACCGCUUGUGCGGGCCCCCGUCAAUUCCUUUGAGUUUCAACCUUGCGGCCGUACUUCCCAGGCGGAAGACUUAUCGCGUUAGCUUCGAUACUAAAGGGUCUCCCCUCCAACAUCUAGUCCUCAUCGUUUACAGCGUGGACUAC
rnacentral:misc_RNA from 1 species